rnacentral:rRNA from 1 species
UACGUAGGGUGCGAGCGUUGUCCGGAAUCAUUGGGCGUAAAGCGCGCGUAGGUGGCCUCAUAAGUCCGCUGUGAAAGUCAAAGGCUCAACCUUUGAAAGCCGGUGGAUACUGUGGGGCUAGAGUACGGAAGAGGCGAGUGGAAUUCCUGGUGUAGCGGUGGAAUGCGCAGAUAUCAGGAGGAACACCAAUAGCGAAGGCAGCUCGCUGGGACGUUACUGACACUGAGGCGCGAAAGCGUGGGGAGCGAACAGG